GGAGGGGUCGCAUAGUUUGGUCUAGUGCGCACGCUUGGAAAGCGUGUAAGGGGUUAAACCCUUCGAGGGUUCGAAUCCCUCCCCCUCCG
rnacentral:tRNA from 1 species